CUUGGAUCUAGGUUUCUCUAUUGUACAUGCAAGUUAUCCAAGACUAUAAACCCUAAUUCUAGCAUAUGGGAAUCGAUAUUAACAUAAGAAUAGGUUUAUAAUAUUACCUUGAUUGUUAUGUAGCAAUAACAAUCCCAAUUCCUCCUUGAAUUGACUUUGGAAGGCUUAGAGUCACAAGUGUCACUCCUUUAAUGGCUUACAAACACCAAGAGCAAAUGGAGAAGGUAUAAAGAGAGAGGAGAGGUAUAAGAAUUCAUCUCUAGGACCUCUUUGGAAGGCAUGGACGAAUUCAUGAGCCCUGAGGGUCUUUAUAUAGGUGUAGAGAUAGGGUUUCAGUCCUUAUCCUUAUCUAGUUGCUUGUCCACCAAGCAACCCAUAAGAUAAGCCUUGAAUCCUUAUCAUGGUCGAAUUCUAAGUCCUUAUCACCUCAAAUUCGUCCAACCUAUCCUUAGGAUAAUCCUUACCCUAUUUUGUAACUAUCACAUAAUUACAAUUCAGCCCCUCUAGUUUAAUUAAUUACAUUUGAUCACAAAAUUAAUUCUUAAUUAAUUAUUGACCAAUAUUAAUUAAACAAAUAUGAUUUCUCCUUUAAUAUAUUAUUCUUAUAACAUAUUAAUAAAUCAUAAUAACCUCUCUCUCUAUUUAUUUCUCCAAUCAAGUUGCUUUGGUGAAGGCAACCCAAAAGGACCAUGCACCAUCGGGUCAAGUACAUACCAAAAUAGUUAUGGACUUAGACACUAAUCCAACAGUCUCCCACUUGGAUAAGUCUAAUAACUAUUCUGCGUAUGACUUCAGAUCCUGAUCUGCAAUCGUAGCUUUCCAAAGCCGCUGUCAACUCUGAUCCUAUCAGAUACGCGUGUCCUUAAGUAAGGGAUCAUAUAUUCCUCCAUUCUAGAUAUCAUAUGAGAUAUGAUUUCAAAUCAUUCUCUUUGUACUAUAUCUCGAUUCCCGAUUUAUGACGACUGACUAAUUGAACAAAUCAAAUUAGCCCUAGCCCGGCCGAGCAUUUACGUUUGUCAUCACUAAAUCAUCGAGGGGCCCAAAGAUAUCGCUUUUAUCCUACUUUGGAUAAAAGGAACGGAUAAACUUUGAUACAAUGCUUGCUUGCACUCACUCACCGAAUCACACACAACAAUAUGUUUUAUAACACCAAGUUACUAGUGCGUUUACAUAUUAUCAAUGUGCAACCGAUUUGCAAGAUACAACUCACACAUCUCGGUUUCAAGAAUAUAAGAUGUUAUCGUCUCACCAAUCACUCGUGAUACAAUUCAUGGAGUGAUCCAAGUGAGCGUGGGUUUAAUCCAAUGCUCAAAUCAUAUUCAUAAGCACUCAUGAACGUUGCAGCAAACAUUUGCUUAUGUCUAAUACUCUUUUAGACAAUCCACACACCAAUUCACGACAGUCUUCAUUCAUAUCUACUUCCAACAUAUGAACGACUGUGGCCCGUUCGAAUAAUUCGAUUAUUCUUAAUAAACUCAAUUAUUCUGGAAGUCAAAACAUGCAAAUGUGAAACACAAGAAUAAUACUAAUCCCAUAUGGCCUCAAACCUUUGAGUAUAAAUAAAACACCUUUUAUUUAUCACCAUAUUGAUUACUCAUUAUUUGUCGUUUCGGGUAAUCAACUUCUUACUUGAAUUACAACACUUGUCCCAUGCUCCUAGCAUGCACACAAUGUUUACCUAUGGUUCUUACUUUGUGAAAUAGAUCACAUUGAACACAUUUCCAAUCAUUCUCAUUUCACAACUCCAAAUCCUUUUUCAUAAGUGUAAGAAUAUCAAAUUCUUGCUACUUAUAGAAUAUGCUAGAUUCUAACAUUCUAUGCAAUUAUCCUUUCGUAAUGUCACUGCACCAAAGUCACAAAGACUAUUGCCAAUGAUAUUACAAAGUCCUCUAUCGGAGAUUGUUACAAGACAAUUCCAUAGAUGUGAUGUCUCUCACUCAAAGUACAUUCUUUGAACAUCCUUUUGCAUAGAAGUUUCUAAUCUAGUCAUAGAUUUCUCAAUAUUCAAUUCCCAAUAUGGACACACUUCCAUAUGUUCCAUAUGACAACUCAUUCUUAAUAGAAUCUUAUCUAUUCGUAAUGAUGUCGAUAUGGUCCAUCCAAUAUGGAAACAUUUCCAUAUUUUCCAAUACUAUACUUCCAACUACUCACAAGCGACCAAUCCUCGUCGAACUUUGGAUUGUCCUUUGAUAGUUGUUUAAUUAUUUUAGUCAAAACCAAUUCUAGUCCCUUUUCCCUCUAAAUGCGCUCGACAUUUGGAAAAUUUUAGAAUGGUCAAACAUUAAAGCAUUUGCAAUCGAUCCUAUACCCGAAGCGUAUGGGACACGACGCAUAAUGUUUUAUUUGCUAUGUUCUCAAAAUUCGAAUUGUGAAGAGGGAUGCCGUAAUCAUAAUCGAAAUUUUAAGAACACACUUUGUACCUUUGACUAAAUUUUAUUAACAUUUCUCAACCUAAACCUUUAGAUUUGAAAUGAAGCAUAAUAUUCUCUCCCUUAAUUAUAGCAAAACAACUCUUCAACUAUUGCGACUUUGCAAAGUAUGACUCUUGUUUUCUAUAAUUAAUAUUGCUAACCUUGCAAUACUUUCCUUAAUAAUCAUACAAUCAUAACUUUUAUGCUCCCACUAUCUUGAUGAUUAUUAUAAAACAUAACACUUAUGCUCCCACUAGCUUCGACAUGUAUUCAUAAACAUCUUAACUUUCAGAAAACAAUACUUAUUGAAUUUCUUAAGUUCAUGUUUCUAAUACUUAGUGCUUUGAUAAUCUUUUAUCAAGGCUUCUUGAACUUAUACACCUUUGCCUUCGAUAGUUCAUAUGUGUGUCUAAACAAUUAAGACUAAUUGCCAAACCUCACAAUUCAAAUUAUGGAAAGGGAUGCCGUAACCAUAAUUGAAUUCGAGAAUGCAAUUUUACAAUCACUAUCUUCUUAAAAUCUGUCUUAGUGAAAGCAUUUCCUCACAAUCAUUUUCAUGAAGGAGGAAAUCUUAUGACACUUAGAUUUAAACGGUGUAUUUGUUCCUAUCCAUGUGAAUUUGUCAAAACCAAAGUUUACGACAAAUUCAAACUCUUAUGGAUCGAACUUUCUUGAUCUCGAUUUCUUGCCUUUAUGGUAGCACAGCUGCCCACCAUGUCUUCCAAGUAGUUAAGCAGCUCACCCUUUCCUAUCAAUGUACCUUUCAUUGAUUAAGGUGCUUUGCCUUUUAUGCGUUCAAAAUGAGAACUCAUAGAACUCACAUGCAUAAUUAACUCGAUUGGAUUGGCACAGAAUCAAAAUAAUGUCAACACGAUAGGUUGUAAACCUCAACUCGUGUGCUAGUGAUGAUCGAUAAGGUUUAUUUGAUUUGUUCUUGAAACCUUUCAAGACCAUUAAGACUCCCACUGACUCCUUGACAUAUAAGAUUCUCUUGUCAAUAAACAUUUCUUGACAAACAAAUAUUCAAGAGUUAGUGUAGCUUUUAUCAAAACACUUCAUAAAUUGGUCCUAGUUGGUCUUUGUCUUAUCCAAGACAUCACAACUUUCCACAUUUGAUGAAUGUUAUAAACCUUCUUAAUACUUUUCACUCAAUGUCACAAUCUUAACUUUAAGACUUGUUAUUGGAACGAAGUAUGAUUGACUUCUUGAUUUAACCAUUUCUUCAAUUCUUGAUUCCUCUUCUUAGACAUACAAUUGUACUAAGACUCACUUAGAGGAUCAAUUGAGAUAUGGUUCUUAAUCAUUAAGACCUAUCAUAAAGCAUAAAAGGUACUCUCCCUUCUUCUUAGAAUGGAGAAACUUUUAUCUUUCUGCCUACUUGAUUCUUCUUAUUCGUUCUGCUAUUGAUUUAAACCUUUUCAAUCAAUUCAGAAUUACACUUAAUCUUAUAAGUAUAAUCAUAUUUACUAAACCUUUAGUAAAUCAUGACGAAUAUCUUUGUUACUCUUAUGGUGGACUUGAUCAACACGCAACUUUGUGUACUCGAUCUCCUAGUCCUUCACUUGACACUUUGUCAAUGAAUUAGUCUAAUUUCCAAAUAUGAAAUUUCUCAUUCAUCGUGCAACCAAGUUGCAUGAUUCCAAGUUUCUGUCCAAUUGAAACUUGGGCGAUGAGAAACUCUCCCUAUUUGGUAAAUUCUCGACUUUCCAUAAAUAACAUAAUAAGAACCAAAUCCAUUAUUGCUAAUAAUAGAAACAUUCAAACAUCAAUUUUUCAUAUACGCCAUUGCAAGGAUAAAUAAAUAAUAUAAAAUCAAAAUUUAUUUUAUUGCGGAAAAAUUUUUUCCUUACAAUGCAAUUCAUUGAAAAACUAUGCUAAUACAUCUUUCUUAGCAAUCUAAUUCUAACUCUAAGUAGUAGCUCAAGAAUCUAAUCUUCGAGAAAUGCGAUCGAAAUCCAUUCCUUCACGGUUAGAUUCUGCUCACUUCUUCCCUUAAGCUUCCUUUCUUUUCUUCGAUCCUACAAAACAUCAAUUGUAAUCUUAUCACAUUAUGUAUUAAGAAUCUAGAAUAGAAGCUUAAAAGAGUUAGUUAAUGGAUUUUACCUAUAUUAGAGCCAUACGUUUCGACUCUCCCAUCUCUUAGAUCUCUUAGGUAAAUGGGGCAGCUUCGUCUCCAAUGCCCUUUCUCUUGGCAAUAAAAGCAAAUUGACUCUUUUGGAACAUGACAUGGAACUACUUCAGACAUUGCCUUUCUCUUAUGAUCAAACUUUUCGAUCAUAGCAUGUCUUUCGUUGCCAUUGUCUAUAUCCAUAGAGGUCUUGAAGGCAGAUUCACCAAUCAACUUUGCUUUUCUAUUGCGCCAAACCAUUGCUGAUUCAGCAGCAAUAAGCAUAUAGGUGAGAUCUAUAAGGGUCACGUCGCGGUUCAUCAUAUAGUACUCUCUUACGAACUCACUAUAUGAGUUAGGAAGUGACUGAAGAACCCAAUCAACAGCCAUUUCCUCACAGACAACGGAUCCCAACAUUCUUAACCUAUCAAUGUGUGACUUCAUCCCUAGGACGUGUGCACACACCGACUUUCCUUCUUUAUGUUUACUUGCCAAAAGGGCUUGAGUGAUCUUGAACUUUUCAAGCCUUUGAACUUGUGGGUUAGGGAGAAUAAUUGGAGGAGGUGGAGGAAGUGAAGCAUGAUUUCUUGUUCCUCGAUCGAAUCGUGGAAUAUCAUCUUCAUGUGGAAUGCUUGUUCCACGGGAUUUGGGAAGACCAUAGUUGUCGAACUUUGACAUCUACAAAACGGGAGAAAACGAAUUCAAGUUAGUUGAUUGAUUGAGUCCUUAGUAAAUCACCCAAAUGAGAUACUAAGGCUAGGACCCAACACAAUAUUCUACAACUCGGGAGAGGGAUGCCGUAACCCAAAUUGCAGAACAUUUGAAGGUAAGUGAAUGACGAUUCACUAAUUUCCACCAUGAAAAACGAAAAAGAAAUUUAAGUUUUAAAUCUAUGAAAACUCCUAGAUCCUUUGAGAUUCAUUGAACAUUUCAAUGGCAUGUUUAAAUCUCGAUAUGCCCCUCUUGUUUGUGACUGGGAUGCCGAGGAUCACAAAGCGGGUGUGAAUAACCAUGCAAACUUACAUGGUGCCCUCACAUGUUACAGUCACCUAUUCGAUGUGCCGGUAAACCACACACGCUCCACCGAACUAUGACAAACAUUGAGUCACCCUUUGCUACCUUUGCUUAGAACCAUUUAGUGUGCCGGUAAACCACACACGCUCCACUAACGUCUUCGCAAGGGCACAAAGUGUAAUUUCAUGGAAUUGCAUCAAUUCACUUUUGCCUAAGUAACUAAGAUUGGGAAUUUUAUGAAAACAUUUAGUUACUUUUAUACUUCAUUAUACUUAUAAUGGAAGGUUUCGUCCUAUCCUACCCGUUCGGCUAACGACCCUCCACUAGUCAAGAGUGCGGUGGGUAAGAGUGGAUACCCAUUCAAUCGCCAUUUUAUAGGCAAUUUCCUUAAACACCCCUUAUAGACCAGCUUCGUGAAUGAGGCCUACUAACGGUAAGACUGACUUUUACUCAUACAUAUAUAUAAUGUUAGACUUUUAAUGUUAUAUAUAGUAUAGGGUGUAUUUUACACUUUUAAAAUACUAGGUGGUCAAAUUUAACAAUUAUACUUUUAAUUCAAUUAAAUUGUAAACCUAAACUUUUAUGGAUUUAUUAAACCUCUUUUAAUUAUACACCUUAAUUAAUUAAUAAAACCAUAAGGGUGUGAUUUGAACUUUUUCAAAACUAUACUAGAGUUUUAGAAUUUAACAUUCCUAAUUAAACUUUUAAUCAACUUUUAAAUUCCAAAACUUGAGGGCAAGUUUUGAAACAUUUCAACACAUUAGGGUUUAGAAUUUAAAUAUACAUCAAAAUUAAACUAUUUAAUCAAAAUUUAAAUUCCAAAACUUGAGGGCAAGUUUUGAAACCUUUUUCAAAACAUUAGGGUUUCAACUAUUUAAAUUUCAAAACAACAAAACUUUUGGGGUCAAAUUUAAACUAUAAAACCUAAAGGGGAAAAUAUGAAACUUUUCAUAACAACAAGGAUCAAAUAACAAAUAAUCUAAAUUAACAUUUAAUCACAUAAUUAUCCAUAUUUGAUUUAUUUAAUGAUUUCUUGCAAAACAAUUUAUCAAUUUAAUCAAAAUAAUUAAUCAAUUAUCACAUAAGGAAACAAUUAUCUUAUUAAUUGAUAAAUAUCUUCAAUUAGAUCAAAAAUAUAGUCAAAUAUAUCAUAUAAUCGGAUUAAUAUUGAUCUAACAUGAUAAGGUAACUAUCCAUAAGCAAAAACAGCAAGAAAUCCCGAAGUACCCUCCAUCUGACGAGUUGACUCGUCGAGUCAGCCUUGGACUCGUCGAGUCACCUUGGACUCGGCGAGUUCAGCCAUGGACUCGGCGAGUCCAGCCUCCAGAAACCCAAAAAAUUGAAUUUUUCAAACAUAUAAUGCAUCAAUACAAUAGAAACCAGUCUAGGCUCUGAUACCACUGAUGGGUUUUGGUCAUAAGACAUCCUAUGUGCUCAUACAAACCCUAAUGCUUGGAUCUAGGUUUCUCUAUUGUACAUGCUUUGAAUCCAAGACUAUAAACCCUAAUUCUAGCAUAUGGAAAUCAAUAUUAACAUAUAAUUAGGUUUAAGAUAUUACCUUGAUUGUUAUGUAGCAAUAACAAUCCCAAUUCCUCCUUGAAUUGACUUUGGAAGGCUUAGAGUCACAAGUGUCACUCCUCUAAUGGCUUACAAACACCAAGAGCAAAUGGAGAAGGUAUAAAGAGAGAGGAGAGGUAUAAGAAUUCGUCUCUAGGACCUCUUGGGAAGGCAUGGACGAAUUCAUGAGCCUUGAGGGUCUUUAUAUAGGUGUAGAGAUUAGGGUUUUAGUCAUUAUCCUUAUCUAGUUGCUUGCCCACCAAGUAACCAUAAGAUAAGUCUUGAAAACCCUUAUCCUAGUCGAAUUCUAAGGCCUUAUCACCUUAAAUUCGUCCAACCUAUUAAUAAGAUAAUCCUUACCUUAUUUUGUAACUAUCAC
rnacentral:lncRNA from 1 species